rnacentral:rRNA from 1 species
GACGAACGCUGGCGGCAUGCCUAACACAUGCAAGUCGAACGGAGUUGAGCGCUGAAUUGAAGGUAGCUUGCUACUGAAUAUUCUUGUUCAACUUAGUGGCGGACGGGCGAGUAACGCGUGAGCAACCUGCCCUUCAGUGGGGAAUAACGGCUGGAAACGGUCGCUAAUACCGCAUAACGUCGUGGGACCGCAUGAUUCUACGACCAAAGAUUUAUCGCUGAAGGAUGGGCUCGCGUCCGAUUAGGUAGUUGGUGAGGUAACGGCUCACCAAGCCGACGAUCGGUAGCCGAACUGAGAGGUUGAUCGGCCGCAUUGGGACUGAGACACGGCCCAG